CUCUAGCCAAGCUGUGAGUCAGGUCAAAUAAAGACAGUCCAAGUAGCGUGUUUGAGGAUGUCACCGGAUAGGUUGAUAUAAUGACAGUUCUCUGGGAAUGAGGCUUUGAAGGCACUUAAAAUCCGUUGGUGGCUGCCAGGCUCCUGGCUUUCAGUGGUAUUAUGUGUUGCUGGUUUUCAUGGUGACUGUGGAGCUGCAGAUCAGAGGGAAGGAAUAGGGUAAGUUGAAAUACCAUUAAAUUUGCUGUUCUUACGGAGAUUCAGCUGUUUUUCUUGAAAAAAUGUUCCAUGGAUUGCUGCAAGCUUUUAGUUAAUUUCCAGAAUUUUGAAAAAGUUAAGGAGAGAAUUUUCAGAGGUACUCACUCUACUGUUUUCACUGAUGUAAUUCUUAUGGCUGUUACUUAAACCUCAAUAAAUGUAGGUUCCUUUCCUUCACUGUCAUUGGUUUGAACUACCAAGAUUUUAAUACAUGACCAUUCUGUUUUAGAUAUUUUACAAUCUGGAUUUAGAUCCUACAAGCCUUCUGAAAUUUGAAUCUCUUGCCAUAUAUUCCAGCCCAAUUCUGAGAAUUCUGCAACCAUGACAGAAUGUGGAUGGUGUAGUGCAUAGGACAUUGGUGCUGACAUCUGUUGUCUUUACUGCUUUCCUGUCUGAAUGCAAAACCUCAGUUAAUGGACAACAGUGCACUUAGAUCAGCUGUUUCUUGGUUUUUAUUUCAUUAUUUCGUCAUCACCAUGGAGCCUAUCAGCUCUUCACUUGUACUCAAGAAGAAAGCCAACAAGUGAAUUGAGUUGGUAUCUUUUUAUUUCCACCCUGACGUUUCUGGUACUGCUUCUUCAUAUUUACUUCAAGUAGUCCCAAAAUGUGAUUUAAGUAUCUUAUCUGGGCAGAUGUCUAGUGGAUUCUUUCUUUGGCUGAAACUUUGUUUCUGGUUCACUUGUCACGUUUCUUCUUGAUGAGGGAAUAUGCUUUAGAGUAGCAAAAGAGACCAGUACUGCUUAAAAUAUUUGAUCAAUGCUGAAGAGAAUCUGGUGUAGUUGGUGAGAUUCAGGUUUUGGUAUGUUUUAAAGGCUCCUUAGGGAAUUGUAAUGUGUAGUUAGACUUCAGAACUGUUGUGCCAUUGAAUUGAGUUUAACCUGUAAAAUAGUUGUAAAAAUGAAUAAAAUAUAACUUGGAGCAAAUAUGUUACCAUUACAGAGUCUACACAAAAACAGUUACUAGGCUUUAAUGUAAGAGAAUCACCUACAAGUUCUUAAACAGUGCGGCUUUCUGAGUCUUAACUAGUUUACUAGUUCUAGAGUGGAGCCUAGAAACCUGCAUUUUUAAUUGCUUUGCAGGUCAUUGUGAUGCAGAUGGUUCACAAUCCACUGCAUCAAACCAAACUGGAUUCUAAUCAGAGGUUUUCUAAAGUAAUUUAUGCAAGUGCUAUAGUUUCAGGAACCUCAUUUGCCCAAAGUAGAAUUUCUUCUCACUUUUUGUCCUUGAGCUUUAGGGUAGAGAAAUGUGUUUGAAAACUGUAUGGCCAGGUUUUAUUUUUUCAUGUCAAGAUGGUUAUGGAUUAUUCUGCUUGAAGCCUGGCAGACUAAUUAUGUGGGAUUGAGAAUGAACAUUGUGUGUGUGUGUGUGUAUGUGUGUAGUUAAUGUGAAUAUUAAUAACCUCCAGAUGUUAUUUUUGUUUAUGUUCUUCUCACCCGCACUCCCUCAUUAACAUUCUACUUGACAAAUGUGUCAGAGUCUGCUUCCUGGAGAAUCUAACCUGCAGUAUCCACCUUGUGUUACUAUAAGGUUUUACUUUUUCAUUGGCUAGGCAUUGUCAUCCUGAAUAGUUUUGUUGUUGUUGUUGUUUUUUACAUUCAGCACUGGGUGGAAGUUCUCCAGUGCGUCAGACGCUUUCAUUUGGAAAAUAUUUUACUCAGGCUCCUUUCCCCCGUUCUGUCUUCCUUUGGAUCAGCUUUAUAAUAAACAGAUAUUAUUUAACGUAUUUAAUAUUUCACAGUAUAUUUAAAGUCAUGAAAUGAUAUUUAAAAGGUUUUGAAUUUGCAUAAAGCUAAUGACUUAAGUGUCAACAGAUUUUAAAAGUAGAUAUCACAGUUGGUUUUGAUGUUUUACCUGAGUCUGCACAGUGACAAGAGCAACUUACAAGCACUGUGUAGUUGGUACUGUGUUAAGUCCAUUGUGUACAUUGUCACGCUUAAUUCUCCCAGUGUCCUUCUCAGUUUGUUCCUAUUAGUCCAAUUUUGCAGACCCCCUCUGCCUCUCUCUAACGAGCAUUUAGAGACUGCCUGCAUAAUCCAGGAUUAUCUUCUCAUCUCAAAAUUCUUCAUUUAUUCAAGUCUGCAAAGACUCUUUUUUCAAAUAAGGUAGCAUUUAUAACUUAUAGGGAUUAGGACAUGGAGGUAUUUUUGGGAGCCAUAUCGGUUUGCCACACAUGGCAAAAGGGACUUUGCAGAUGUGAUUAAGCUAAUGAUUUUGAGAUAGGGAGAUUAUCCUGGAUUAUCUGGGUGAGCCCAAGGUAAUCACACGGAUUCUCAGAGAGACAGGAGAGUCAGGCUGAGUAGUAGAUGUAAUAACAGAAGCAAGAAGUUGGAGUGAUGUGAGGGAGGGGUCAUGAGCCAAGGAAUGUAAAUGGCCUUUAGAAACUGAAAAAGGCAAGGAAAUAGAUUCUCCCCUCUCCAGAAGGAACCAGCCCUGCUGAAACCUUGAUGUUAGCCCACUGAGACUGAUUUUGGACUUCUGACCUUCAGAAUUGUAAGAGAAUACAUUUCUGUUGUUUUAAGUCAUUGAAUUUGGAGUGACUUGUUACAACAGCAAUUGGAAACUAAUACCAUGAUCAAAGCAGAAAUUAAUACAUAUAGAAUGCCCUGAGUGCUAGGAUGUGUUCUAGCACAUACAUGAACUCAUUUAGUUCUGACAAUUACCUUAUGAGGAAAGGAACUGUUAUUGCUAAACUGAGGCACCAAAACCCUAAUCCUAACCAAAUCAUAAGGAAACCUUAACCCUAGGUUUAAGAAAGGGUAAAAUUAAAGAGAGAUGAGGGCUGGGGGUUGUGGUCACCCUGUGGUUGUAAGAAUAGCAGCACAAUAAUUUUAGAUUUAUGGAAAAGUUGCAGAUAUAGAACAGAGACUUCUCGUUGACCUCAUAUCCAAUUUCCCCUACUGUUAACAUCUUACAUUAGUGUGAUAGCGGAACUACGAAGUGAAUACAAAAGUAUGAGGCUAGACAAAUGGAAAUGCAUAUGUCUUAUACUAUAUUUUAUUUGAAAUAUAAUAUUAUGAAAGAUAAGUUUUUGUGGUUUGGAGAAUAAUAAAGUAUAUAUAUUCUUGGGACAACAAGGCAAAGGCCAGAUACACAUAUAAUUUGAGACUCAAAUUAAUCAUGUUUGGUAGCCCAAAUAAGGUUUGUUUAUUUAUAUGAAAAUUGAGCUUUUUUUUUUUUGCACCUACAUUAAAAUUUUGUUGUCUUGUAAGAAUUCUGGAUCACAAUUUAAAAAAAAACUUAUUUUGGAUACAUAAUAGUUGUACAUGUUUAUGGGGUACAUGUGAUAUUUUGAUACAUGCAUACAAUGUUUAAUGAUCAAAUUGGAUCACAAAUAUUUAAGUACACAACAAGUUAUGCUAUGAAGUUUUGCAGACCAUUUCAUUUAUGUAGUGUAACUUGCUCUAAUUGCCAUCUAAAACAUUACAAUUGUACUAGACUAUGUACUAUUGGAGCAAUAACAUUCUGCCAACUGUGGUAGAUUCAUAUAAGUAUUUAGGAAAUAUUACUGGGAAAAACAUAAAUUAUGUUGAGAAAAACUUGAAAGAUCUGACUGGCUCUAAAGGAAUAUAUAGUAAAUAUUGAUAUUGGUUCAAAAACAUUUUUAUACAAUUGUUUUUGCUAUAAUUGUGAUACAUUUCUGAGAAAUCUUGUGGUUGUAACCAUCAUAUACUAGAAAUUAAAGGUCUGGGAAAAAUGGAGUUGCACAAAUCACUCAAAAUCUAUACAGCAUUAUAUCCAGAUCACUAAUAAAAGCAAUAGCAGUCUAGUAAAACAGUUAGUUAAAAACAGUUAGUUAAAAAACAUGUCAGAGUCCUAAUAAGUAAAGAAAUAUUACAGUAAAUAUAGGAUUUUAUCUUUAAAGGUGGUGGUUGCUGAUGGAAAGGGAUGCAUUGAAGGUUUGAGGCUGAUAGACUGCCGAAGAUUAGGACAAAGUACACAAAAAAUGAGGAAGUGCUAUGCAAAAAGCCCUACCAGGACAUAUCUUCCAAGCCAUUUCUGACAUAAGAAUUCAGCUCCUGUCAAGGCAUGUGCAGUAAAGGAUAUUUCGAAGUUCACAUAGCUUUUAUAUUAUUCUUUUAAAACGGUAGGAAUGAAUCAGAGUGGCAAACAUACUAGGUGGAAUCUUAGUAAUAGUCAUAGAUUGUUCAGUUGUGUGCAGAGACAAGACUUUGUUCAACCUGGUCUUAAACUCCUGGCCUUAAGGGAUCCUCCUGCCUCAGCCUCUCAAAGUGCUGGGAUUGCAGGGUAAACCACCACACCUGGCUCAACAUUAUGUUUAAGAAUUCUCAACCUUCAUUAUUUUUACAAGAUCUUUUACUAAAUCAGUCCCUAAUUUUCAACACUAUACUUUUACCUUAAUUAACUGUAGCCUGUUUUCUUCUUUCAGUCCUAUAGAUUCCUUUUCAGAUAGAGAUACUUUUUUAAUAUCCAGUGUUCAUUUAAAAAGAUGACUGAUUCUGAUAUGUUUUAUUCAUGUGUUACUUUACUGGUGUUUUUUGUUAUUGUUUACUACUUGCACAUGUUGAAUAAGUUGCUAGAAAAAUUAUCACUUGCCUCAGAUUUUAUUUAGCCAAUAUAUGUAAUAGUUUUGAUUUACUUUAUCUGUAGAUUGAAGGCAAAAACGGGUCGUCACUUAGACUGAUAAGAUGGUUGCUUAGCCAGUGAGAGGGAUUUCCUAAGAUCACUAGAUUCGAAUGUAUCUGAUAAAGCAAGUGUUUUUGUUAUUUGUUGAGUCUGCCAGUGGAAUUCUGAAGUUGAUACAACUUGCUUGUUCCGUGUGCCCAUAGCUAGAGAUGGAGUCUUGCUCUGUUGCUCUGGUUGGUUUUCAACUCCUGGCCUCAAGGGAUCUUCCUGCCUUGGCCUCCCAAAGUACUGGAAUUACAGGUCCUUCCCACCACACAUGGGAAUUAUGGGAGCUACAAUUCAAGAUGAAAUUUGGGUGGGGACACAGCCAAACCUUAUCACUUGUCUAAGA
rnacentral:lncRNA from 1 species